rnacentral:rRNA from 1 species
ACGAACGCUGGCGGCGUGCUUCACACAUGCAAGUCGAACGGUAAGGCCCCUUCGGGGGUACACGAGUGGCGAACGGGUGAGAAACACGUGAGCAACCUGCCCUUGUCUCUGGAAUACCAGUUGGAAACAGCUGCUAAUACUGGAUAUUCAUCUUCUCCUUCUUGGGGGUUGGUGGAAAGUCCAGGCGGUCAGGGAUGGGCUCGCGGCGUAUCAGCUUUUUGGUGAGGUAAUGGCUCACCAGGGCUUCGACGGGUAGCCGGCCUGAGAGGGCGACCGGCCACACUGGGACUGAGAUACGGCCCAGACUCCUACGGGAGGCAGCAGUGGGGAAUAUUGCACAAUGGGCGCAAGCCUGAUGCAGCAACGCCGCGUGCGGGAUGACGGCCUUCGGGUUGUAAACCGCUUUCAGUAGGGACGAAGGGUGACUGACGGUACCUACAGAAGAAGGACCGGCUAACUACGUG